CAUCAUAGUCUAUGCCAUAAACCUUUCCAUCUCCUUCAAAAGUUUCCUCCCGCCCCAGUUAUUUGUUAUUACGAUUGUGUGUGAUAAUAACAUCUCCAUGCUUAGCAAAUCUUAAGUAUAUACUGUAAUAUUGUUAACUAUGGUCAUUAUGCGUAUGGUACUUCUCAAGGGUUUUUCCAUCUUGCAUACCUGAAACUUCGUUCCCUUUGACCAAUACCUCCCCACUUCCCCCUCCCUUCAGCCCUUGGCAACCACCAUUCCACUUUCUGUUUCUAUGAGUUUGAUUAUUUUAGAUUCCUCAUAGAAGUGGUAUUAUGCAGUAUCUGUCCUCCUGUGCCUGGUUUAUUUCACUUAGCACACAUGCCCUCCAGUUCCUCCACGAUGCUGCAAAGAGCAGGAUUCCCUUCUUUGUAAAGGCGUAAAGGACACCACUUUGGAAUGGUG
rnacentral:lncRNA from 1 species